UUUGUGGUCAGUGACAAGGUCGCUGACUUGAGGAAGGUUUAGUUAACUGUUAACUGUUUGUGAUCUCUAUGGAUUUGCGUCUGGGUUAAUAUUGUGUCGAAUUUACACUCUAUAAACCAAAAUCAAGAUGAUUAGGGCAUCACCCGAUAAUACAAUGUCACAAAGGUGCGCAACUUUCCGGAUCCCCUGUAUAUUAGAGUUCCAGUCAUCCUACGCUGAGUCCGACGUCGGUAGUUUUUUACUCGAUACAUACACUACAAGGAGUUUGUUUAUGAGAUGAUCACCGAAUUGACAGUGACCUGCAAGAAGAAGAUGAAUGAUCUCACGUGUUUCGUGCGUUUGUUCGGUUUGAACAUUUGUUUUGGAUUUGUGAUAUUUUUCUCAAUUUGUGUGCAUUUGUUAAAUUGUGUAAGUCAUGACAACGGUAAGCGAUACAGGUACACGAUAUUCUAAACGUACUUUAAAUCCUAGGUUUAGUAAUAGUGAAUGUUUAAUUUGUGUUACCAAAAGUAUUAUUGCCAUUUAUUUAUUUAUAGGUAAUUUAUUACAAAUGUAAAAUAAACUAUUAUUUUUGUACUGGCA